GAAGUAGAUGAAACCUGUUGGUUUCAGAGAUUAAAUUCAUCCCAGGAGCAGACAGCCUUCUUCAUCUGACGCUGCCAUGAGCAACAGGCUUCUCUGCUGUUUUGUCCUUUUUCUCCUCAGAGUAGACCUCAAGGAUGCUGUAGUCACACAGUUCCCAAGACACAAGGUCUCGAAGACAGGAAAGGAAUUAACUCUACAGUGUUCACAAAAACAGAGUCAUUAUUCAAUGUACUGGUAUCGCCAAGACCCAGGAUUUGGACUGCGGCUGAUCUAUUACUCAACUAAUACCAACACCACUGAGAAAGGAGAUGUCCCUGAGGGGUAUCGUGUCUCUCGAAAUGAGUUUGAAUAUUUCCCCCUGACCCUGAAGUCUGCCAGCACCAACCAGACAUCUGUGUACUUCUGUGCCAGCAGUCUACACCGCUAUGACUAUACCUUCGGCCCAGGGACCAAGCUGACUGUUGUAGAAUCCCAGCAGACAAGGAGAGGUUUUGAAGUGAAUCUGGGAGGCUGUGCUUUGGAGACACCUACUAUUUUGGGGAAGGAAGCCGGAUCACUGUCAUAGGUAAGCUAGUCAGGGCUGGAGGGCUGGGAACCUACAGGGAGGGGCAGGGUCCAGGUGGAGCCUCCGAUAGGGGUGCCUAGGUUAAAGCAUGUUUUUAUCAGAAAAAUCUGAAUUCUCGUCUUGAUGAAUUCUUAUCUUGAUGAGAUGGACAGCCUCCAUCUCCAAUAGUUUCAUAGACUCGCUGUGUCAAGCCUGGGUCUCCCUACCGAGAGGCAAGUAGUCUCAGCUGGAAAGGGGUCUCCGUGUCCAUCUUCCGUCUCCUUGGAGGGUGCCCAUCACGGCCACGGUAGAUGGGAGGGCGUCUGGCCUUGGAUCCGUCAGUCCUGCCGUUUCUCUCCCUCGCGUAGAAAGGAGAUGGACACAGGAGAGGGGGGUGAGAAGUCUCACAGGGGGCCAAACUGGUCCUCUGACCGCAGCUUUUCAGGUUGUACAGUUGUCGCCAGCUCCACCUCUGGGGGUUAAAAUUCCGCCAAGGAAGGGGACAGGAGGGCUGCAGGUGGACGGGCGGAGGGGUGGGGAAAGAAUGGGAGGCGCAGGCACCGUCUCCCUACCGGGCUUUCGCGUCCUGUGACUAAUGAGAGCCUGUAUUUUGGCAGCGGAACGAAGCUUUCUGGGCUGGGUAAGUAACGGUCUUCCCUGGGAAUGAUGUAUUGUAAGGCUGGAGUUCUAGAAGUUCCCUUUAGAGAAGGCAGGGACUGAGGACACGGCAGAGAAAAGGCAGAGAGUGUGGGUGAGUGGAGAAGGCCCUAGGACCCCCAGGAGUUCUGGGGAGAAGCUCGUUUCUGGAAAGAAGGGCCCCAUACCGGCCGCUCUGGGGUUUGCCACGCCCGUGUUAUACUGUGGAGCAACCGGGCGCUUGUCCUGGGUAAGGCGCAAGAGCCGGGAGACGGGGCCACUGUCCCUUGGACCCGAAGUGUCUACCUCUCCAUUCAGCCCCGGUGGGAGAGGGUUGAGUAAACUCUGGUCCCUGUGGGGCUUCCGGGGAGCUGGGUCUGCCACCACUUUAGAUGAGGCUUGUUUGAUUCCUGUUUGUCCUCUAAGUCUUCGGCCCAUCAACUGCGUCCUUACUCUUCUGUCGGUGGUCCAUUCCUCCUUCUUCUGUGCGUGGAUCGGCCCCUCCUAAGUCUCUUCCUCUUUCCCCUCUUUCCCCAGAGUGUGCUUAGGCCUUUCUCCUAGUGGGAUCCCUUUGGUCCUGAGCCGUGAAUCCAGGCAGGGAAAGGUGGCCAUCUCUGCCCUCAAGGAGCUAAGACUAGCACUCUGGCUGGAGACCUCUGGGGGGUUUUCCUACAGCCUCCUGCAGCUGUGUUCCUAUAAUUCGCCCCUCCACUUUGGGACCGGCACCAGGCUCACCGUGACAGGUAUCAGACAGGGAGGGAGGUAGAAGGAGGGGGUCAGAGCUGCCCUUUCCUUCCAGAGCAUCUCCAGCUUGCUCCGCUGUGUUUGAUGCAGCUCUUCAGCCGAGGGCUCAUGGGGGCUGUGCUUCUGUGCUUCGUCUCCCGGCUUUCUCGUUCUCCUUCUCGUUGUUCUGCAAGACUCCCCUCCUCUCUCCUGAUUUAGCGGGUGUGCUGCUUUACUUUCCCCUUCUUAUCUGAUCUUCUCCAUUUCCCACCCUCCUUCUAACUCUGAUCCUGCACUGGUGACCCCGUUUUGGGGAACAGCUCCGUCUUCUAUGUUAAAAUCCACCCCCAACACCUCCCUCCAGCUCAGAGUGCUGUCCUCGCCUUCCUUGAGUCCUUCUCUGUCUCCAAGAUCCAUGUGUGUCUUCCUGAGGUGGUUUAAGGACUCAGGAGGCCAUAGGGGAGCAGCUUGGUGAGACUGAGGGCGCUUGAGGGGGACUCCUGAGCCCUGAAGGCCGAGGUCCGUGUCACGGCAUCAUGUGAGCUUGCAGGGGUGGCCCUGGGGAACACUGCGCUUGCUGGGGGUCAGAGGAGGUAGGUCAGAAUAAGCUGUUACAACUGGAAACUUACACCAUCUUAGCAACAGCCAAGGCAGAAAGAAGAGAAGCAGGUUGAGGCCCCAUGCUCUCAAACCUCAGGAUCUGUGCUGAGAUCAGCGAGUCAGAGGCCCAUCGUGAAAUGCUAACACACCAUCACCACCCUCUGGAGGAAGCAGGCAGAUGGGAGAAGAAGGGCGAGGGUGAGAUGGGCCUGGGCUGGAGUUAUAGACACGGCCAGAGCAGCGGGCCACAGAGGUUCUACCAGAUUGGUUGGCUGGGGCAGGCUUUGUCCUGCAGAUGGGAGCACAUGCCAGGGAGUGUCGUGGCAAUUGGAAAGUACAAAUCACUGGGAUUCAAACUGCCUUGGUUCUGGGGAAGGAGGGGCUCAUGCAAUUUGCAAAGUGACCUAAACUGUCUCAGGCCCUCUGAGAUGUAUAAAACAGAGAUGACAAUGGUAGUCUCUUGGGGUCCUGAAACUGUAAGGGACUAAAUCAUGUGAAAAUCCUUUGUAAAGGAUUUACCCUCUUGUAGCCAUCCUUUUCAUUCUUGUUGUUUAUCCUCACUGUGUCACAGAGUAUGCCUUUUUCCAAACCCAUGUCUCAAUUUUGCCAUUAGAAACAUUUCCCAAACUUGGAUAAAGUGGAGGCAUCUGGGUUUGCCAUACUUCUGCUCCACAAACUCAUUCCUAGAACAGAGCCAAACAGAGGGCACAGUACAUUCUGGCAACAAGGAGGGUGCUUGAAAGGUAGACGUGUUUUUUUCCCAUUCCUCCAUGUCUUCACGUGAGGGCCUGCCUUCCAACAAUUCCAGAAAUUCUCUCCCUUCUGUCAGGCAUGUCAAAGGGCCUGGGACUUUAUAAUAUGAACCCUCUGAUGAACUGGUCCUCGGACUUUGGGAUUUGUUCGUUUCCAAGCUUUUGCUGCUUUUAUGAAUAUAAAACGUGGCUGGAGCUAGGAUUCAAAAGCGGGGAGAGAGGUUUGCUGGGCACUGGAAAUAAGAAAGGGUUCAACCCAUGAACAUUUCCUUUCAUGGGAUUCCAGCCAUCCUCGACACCCGGAGUGCCCUGGCGUAGCAGUCGGUAUGGAACAUCAGAUAGGAUAAUAGCCAGAGGCACAGGGGCUCCACAAAGCAGGUUACAUGAAAAUCAAAACAAAAGGUGAGUUGGGUAGAGUAUAGAGAAAAGAAUAUGUCAGAUGCAACGGGAAAAGUAUCUCUUCUGGGGAAGAAUGUCUGAUUCUAAUAGGUGCUGUCACUCAAACAGAUAAGCACAUACACCCUGCAAAAAACAGGAAAACGAUCAUUGGAAAAAGUCAGUUUAGUUCUCAGGAUCAUGCUGCUGGUAGGAAUCCUCUACCUCAAAAUCCAGGCUUAUUUCAACUCUACUGUAAUUGCUUCUAAGUCUGAAAAGUUAGCCGUGCACCGAAGAGGGAUUUAAACUAGGAAGAAAAUAGAUAUACUCAUUCGAUGGCUAAUCCUCCAGGGCCCCAAGUACAGGGCUUUUCAAACACAGCCAAGAAAAUCGGGGUAUAAUGCCACUUCAGGGACUCGUGGGAGGCAGUCAGUAGUGAGUGCCCAUUGAGGAGAGAGAGAAGGGGCAAGGAUGAGGGAGACUAACAGCAGGGAAUGCGGAUGGUGACGCCCAAACGAAUCACCCCUGCCUCUCCCUGCUCCACACUAAGCUUCCCAGGAACACGAAACAUCAAAACGUUCAAGAGGGAUAAUCAUAAAACUUUUCACAAAACUUGCCCUUUGACAAAGCACUUGCAGGUGUGUGAUUUGUUAAGCACUCACAACAACGCUGUGGGGAAGAUAUUACCCCAUUUUUCAGCUGCAGAAACGAAGGCCAGGGAGGUUGCAGGUCACAGAAGUAGUAAGAGGCAGGGUUUAGCCUGGAACACUUCCCAAUCCAGCAAAAUCUCCAUCACAUAUACCCCUUCCAAUUUCACAACCACUGUAAAUCCCCAAGCCAAGCUGAUUCUCUGCAAA